rnacentral:rRNA from 1 species
CCAGCUCCAAUAGCGUAUAUUUAAGUUGUUGCAGUUAAAAAGCUCGUAGUUGGAUUUCGGGUGCGUCGACGUGGUCUGCCUCUGGUAUGUACUGCGCUCGGUGCACCUUUCUGCUGGGGACGGGCUCCUGGGCUUAACUGCUUGGGACCUGGAAUCAGCGAAGUGACCUUGAGCAAACAAGAGUGUUCAAAGCAAGCCAACGCUCUGAAUUUUUUAGCAUGGAAUCACAUGAUAGGACUCUGGCCUAUCUUGUUGGUCUGUAGGACCGGAGUAAUGAUUAAGAGGGACAGUCGGGGGCAUUCGUAUUUCAUUGUCAGAGGUGAAAUUCUUGGAUUUAUGAAAGACGAACUUCUGCGAAAGCAUUUGCCAAGGAUGUUUUCA